rnacentral:rRNA from 1 species
AUUGAACGCUGGCGGCAUGCUUUACACAUGCAAGUCGAACGGCAGCGCGGGGCAACCUGGCGGCGAGUGGCGAACGGGUGAGUAAUAUAUCGGAACGUACCCAGAAGUGGGGGAUAACGUAGCGAAAGUUACGCUAAUACCGCAUACGAUCUACGGAUGAAAGCAGGGGACCGCAAGGCCUUAUGCUUUUGGAGCGGCCGAUAUCUGAUUAGCUAGUUGGUGAGGUAAAGGCUCACCAAGGCGACGAUCAGUAGCUGGUCUGAGAGGACGACCAGCCACACUGGAACUGAGACACGGUCCAGACUCCUACGGGAGGCAGCAGUGGGGAAUUUUGGACAAUGGGCGCAAGCCUGAUCCAGCAAUGCCGCGUGAGUGAAGAAGGCCUUCGGGUUGUAAAGCUCUUUUGUCAGGGAAGAAACGGUAGAGGCUAAUAUCCUGUGCUAAUGACGGUACCUGAAGAAUAAGCACCGGCUAACUACGUG